UACGUAGGGGGCAAGCGUUGUCCGGAAUCAUUGGGCGUAAAGAGCGCGUAGGCGGCCCUGUAAGUCCGCUGUGAAAGUCAAGGGCUCAACCCUUGGAUGCCGGUGGAUACUGCAGGGCUAGAGUCCGGAAGAGGAGAGUGGAAUUCCUGGUGUAGCGGUGAAAUGCGCAGAUAUCAGGAAGAAUAUCCGUGGCGAAGGCCGGCUCUCUGGUACGGCACUGACGCUGAGACGCGAAAGCGUGGGGAGCAAACAGG
rnacentral:rRNA from 1 species